GAUGAACGCUAGCGGCAGGCCUAACACAUGCAAGUCGAGGGGUAGAGGAAUCUUGCUUCCUUGAGACCGGCGCACGGGUGCGUAACGCGUAUGCAAUCUACCUUUUACAGAGGGAUAGCCCAGAGAAAUUUGGAUUAAUACCUCAUAGUAUCUUUGCCUGGCAUCGGGUGAUUAUUAAAGUGCCAACGCUAAAAGAUGAGCAUGCGUCCUAUUAGCUAGAUGGUAAGGUAACGGCUUUCCAUGGCAACGAUAGGUAGGGGUCCUGAGAGGGAGAUCCCCAACACUGGUACUGAGACACGGACCAGACUCCUACGGGAGGCAGCAGUGAGGAAUAUUGGACAAUGGGCGCAAGCCUGAUCCAGCCAUGCCGCGUGCAGGAAGACGGUCCUAUGGAUUGUAAACUGCUUUUGUACGGGAAGAAACACUCCUACGUGUAGGAGCUUGACGGUACCGUAAGAAUAAGGAUCGGCUAACUCCGUGCCAGCCGCCGCAGUAAUAC
rnacentral:rRNA from 1 species